AGCCGCGGUAAUACGAAGGGGGCUAGCGUUGUUCGGAAUUACUGGGCGUAAAGCGCACGCAGGCGGUCUGUCAAGUUGGGGGUGAAAUCCCGGGGCUCAACCUCGGAACUGCCUUCAAAACUGUCAGACUAGAGAUCGAGAGAGGUAAGUGGAAUUCCUAGUGUAGAGGUGAAAUUCGUAGAUAUUAGGAGGAACACCAGUGGCGAAGGCGGCUUACUGGCUCGAUACUGACGCUCAUGUGCGAAAGCGUGGGGAGCAAACA
rnacentral:rRNA from 1 species